rfam:Triticum aestivum genome assembly, contig: Triticum_aestivum_CS42_TGACv1_scaffold_577185_7BL
CAUGUACUCCAUCCGUCCGAAAAUACUUGUCAUCAAAAUAGGUAAAAGGUGAUAUAUCUCAAACUAAAAUACAUCUAGAUACAUCUUCUUUUAUCCAUUUUGAUGACAAGUAUUUCCGGAUGGAGGUAGUACCUC